rnacentral:rRNA from 1 species
AUUGAACGCUGGCGGCAGGCUUAACACAUGCAAGUCGAACGAGUGGCGGACGGGUGAGUAAUGCUUGGGAAUCUAGCUUAUGGAGGGGGAUAACUACGGGUAACUGUAGCUAAUACCGCGUACCAUAGGAUGAGGCCAAGGGGGAUUAGGUAGUUGGUGAGGUAAAGGCUCACCAAGCCGACGAUUGCUAGCUGGUCUGAGAGGAUGACCAGCCACACUGGGAUGUAGCCACGGCCCAGACUCCUACGGGAGGCAGCAGUGGGGAAUAUCGCGCAAUGGGGGCAACCUGACGCAGCCAUGCCGCGUGAAUGAAGAAGGCCUUCGGGUGGUAAAGUUCUUUCGGUAGGGAGGCGUUAACUACAGAAGAAGCACCGGCUAACUCCGUGCCAGCAGCCGCGGUAAUUC